UGGGAUCAUUUCACAUGCCUCAGUUUCCUCAUGAGGAAGCACGCAAGGAUACCAUGGCACUGAGCACUCUUGCUUAGUAGACCUAAGUAUAAACAGAGCUGCUGCUUUAACUUCCUUCCUACAAAGACUUAAUGCAUUAGUGGGGACAACAUUGAUUAACAGCUCAGUGUCACUUCCUGUUGAAAUUGUGAGGAAAUGACUGCCCUGAGACCAAGCCACUGCGGGUGUGCCUCUGCUUGUGUUAGAGGUGGUAGGGGACUGAAAGGGAUGACUUUAUUUUCAUUUGGAUGAAAACAUACUGCCUUUGAACAUACUGCCUUUUUCAUUCUUCGUGUCUGCACAGAGAAGAGAUAAUGCUCUACCUCUAAGGAUCAUCACACUGUGAGCAGGGGUCUCUUCACAAAGUUUUGGAAAGGACUCCAUUGAUUCUGUGUACAUUGGAAUCCUGUAGGUUCACAGUCUGACAGUCUCAUAAGUACAGAAAAAAACAGGCAAGAGUGAUGGAGUCAGUGAGCUGAAACAUAACAUCAUUAACAGCUGCCCACUACCUGCAAGGAGAUCUGGAAAAGUGCUUUGAAGGCAAAUUGCUUACCCAAAAUGUGCUUGGAUAAGUGAAGGAUAUGCAAGAAACUGAAAGAGAGAUCCCAAGAUAUCAUGUGGCCUGUUGAGGACAGUGGUUCUUUGCAAGUAUCUUUGGAGCAGGACUCAUAAGCAAAUUUUAGUGUGAGAAGGAGCCACACUGGUCUUAGAAUUUGUUCAUUUCACACAAUAAUUUUCCUCUGAAUCAGUUUCAAGUCAUAAGCGAUCUCUCAUAGCAAAGGCAAAAAAGAAGAAUUGCAUCAGGAUGAUGCUUAAACCCUUUGGUAAG